rnacentral:rRNA from 1 species
CGAAGGAUGCAAGCGUUAUCCGGAUUCAUUGGGUUUAAAGGGUGCGUAGGCGGACUGAUAAGUCAGUGGUGAAAUCUCUCAGCUUAACUGAGAAACUGCCAUUGAUACUGUUGGUCUAGAGUAUAGAUGACGUUGGCGGAAUAUGACAUGUAGUGGUGAAAUACUUAGAUAUGUCAUAGAACACCGAUUGCGAAGGCAGCUAACGAAACUAUAACUGACGCUGGGGCACGAAAGUGCGGGGAUCAAACAGGAUUAGAUACCCUGGUAGUCCGCACCGUAAACGAUGAUUACUCGUUGUUGGCGAUAUGACAGUCAGCGACCAAGCGAAAGCGAUAAGUAAUCCACCUGGGGAGUACGCCGGCAACGGUG